AGUCCGUUCGUCUAGGGGUUAGGACAUCAGGGUUUCAUCCUGAAAAGAGAGGUUCGAUUCCUCUACGGACUA
rnacentral:tRNA from 1 species